rnacentral:rRNA from 1 species
UACGUAGGGUGCAAGCGUUGUCCGGAAUUAUUGGGCGUAAAGAGCUCGUAGGCGGUUUGUCGCGUCUGCUGUGAAAUCCCGAGGCUCAACCUCGGGUCUGCAGUGGGUACGGGCAGACUAGAGUGCGGUAGGGGAGAUUGGAACUCCUGGUGUAGCGGUGGAAUGCGCAGAUAUCAGGAGGAACACCGGUGGCGAAGGCGGGUCUCUGGGCCGAUACUGACGCUGAGGAGCGAAAGCGUGGGGAGCGAACAGG